rnacentral:rRNA from 1 species
ACUCAAAGGAAUAGACGGGGGCUCACACAAGCGGUGGAGCAUGUGGCUUAAUUCGAGGCUACGCGAAGAACCUUAUCCUGGGCUUGACAUGUGCGAAAGCGGCAGGGAGUAGGGUGCGGAAACGCAACCCCGACGGUAACCAGUCCGGGGCCUGCCACAGGUGCUGCAUGGCUGUCGUCAGCUCGUGUCGUGAGAUGUCGGGUUAAGUCCCAUAACGAGCGAAACCCUUGUCUCCAGUUGCCAGCGCGUAACGGCGGGGACUCUGGAGAGACUGCCGGUGUUAAACCGGAGGAAGGCGGGGAUGACGUCAAGUCCUCAUGGCCUUUAUGCCCAGGGCUGCACACGUGCUACAAUGGCGCGCACAGAGGGAGGCGAGCCCGCGAGGGGGAGCAAAUCCCAAAAAACGCGCCCCAGUUCAGAUUGCAGGCUGCAACUCGCCUGCAUGAAGUUGGAAUCGCUAGUAAUCGCAGGUCAGCAACACUGCGGUGAAUGUGUUCCUGAGCCUUGCACACACCGCCCGU